CCUACGGGAGGCAGCAGUGGGGAAUUUUGGACAAUGGGCGCAAGCCUGAUCCAGCCAUGCCGCGUGAGUGAAGAAGGCCUUCGGGUUGUAAAGCUCUUUCAGACGGAAAGAAAACUUCUGGGUUAAUACCCUGGGAGGAUGACGGUACCGUAAGAAGAAGCACCGGCUAACUACGUGCCAGCAGCCGCGGUAAUA
rnacentral:rRNA from 1 species